rnacentral:lncRNA from 1 species
GCAAUAUCCACAUGUGAACAGGAGUGCCAUACUUGUGUGUAUAAAAAGCAAGCACGGGGCUUUGUUAUCCACCAGAAGCCAUGAGGGCUUUUGAUUCGAUAGAGCAAAACAGAAGGAGGUGUAUCCACAUACUCUCAGCCUGAUACUCUACUUUGUCAAGUCAUUACCAUUAUCAGAUGAAGAGACUUGGCACCUCUGUGUGAUGAAAUCCAAAUACUGGCUGUGGUUACGGAACUGAGCAAAACAUAGAGCAGAUGAAGAGAUACAGAGCUGUAGCUCGCGGGGCCUCAUUGUUCGGGAACACCGCGUAACAAAAAGAAAGGCCAUGUACUGAGGAGCUGCUGUGUCUGCAAGGGAUCUCUUCAAAACAGAAACCAAACAAAACUGAACAAACCCAACGAUUUACUCUGCAGCCAACAAUGGCCGCUGCCAAAGUCUUGUACCUGGCAGCAUUCAACAGACUGGUACUGAUCUUGUUUCAAUUCUUUGCCUUUCUCCCUGUAUCGGAAACACUUGUGCAAUUACAUUCUGUGCUUUACUGAGAGGAGAAGAGAAGCUCAGUGAAUUUGUCCUUGCAUAGGAGUUUGUGGCAGAACGAGAGGCUGAGCCCUGUUUCCUGCACCCAGACGCAGUGCUGCAAUCACAUGACCACUCCUCUGUAGGCACUUUCCUUGAAUGAUGUCUACCGUGGAAAUUAGUCUGAAGAUUUGAACGUAGCUUCCCAGUUCUGACACUGACACGGAGAUGUCAAUAUGCAUCAAUAUAGAGACUGGCAAUCCUUCUAGCUCAACAACUGCCUUGGAGAUUUAAUCAGUCUUGGAAGUACUACUUCACUGUCCUUCUACUGAUGAGAAGGUUGAGAGAAGCCAUUAUACAGGUGUGACAGUAAAGAAUGAAGCCUCUUUCCUCAAGCAAUAAAAUGUGAGCAGUUGUGGUAAUUUACAGACAUUUUAAUCCCUUGGUCUUAAUAUGGUUUUGAACUGAAAAGGUAUAGGAUCUGUUUCCUAGAGGUGGUAAGCUAGAUGGAAAUUUAUCCACAGCAGACAAUAAUAAUAAUUUAGAUAAUAAUUUAGAUAUUGAUACGAACAUUUAUUUCAUAGACUCAUAGAAUCACCAAGGUUGUAAAAGACCUCCAGGGUCAUCCAGUGCAACUGUCCACUUAUCACCAAUAUUUCCCACUAAACCAUGUCCCUCAGUACAACAUCUAAAUGUUUUUUGAACACCUCCAGGGAUGGUGACUCCACCACCUCCCUGGGCAGCCCGUUCCAGCAUCUGACAACUCUCUUAGAGAAGAAGUAUGGUCAUAUUUGCUUUAUGCAUCACAAGCUUUUAAUCUUCAAAACUUCUGAAAUUCAGCAAGAUGUCAAAAGAGCAACAGCAGUUUAAAUUCUACUGUAGGAGCAUUAGAGCUCUGGAGACAACCAGGGUAAGCUCUUACUCCUAUAAAAGCCAUGGCAGAAUGUUAAUCAUUCUUAAAACCGGAGCUGAGCACUUUGGAUCAGUGGUAUUAAUCUCUGAAAGGUGAAUGUUGGCAGGUGUUUUCUCAGGUUCUGUUCUUCAUCCUCACUGCAGCAGUCUCUCCAUUAAAACACCCUAUUAGAGUUGUAAGCUGUAAAUAUGUCAGGAACACAUCAUAGCACCAUACUACAUGUAACAUUUCAGAUUUGAGCAUAUCUUAGCAUAUCAUGUGGAGAUCUCAUGGGGCAACACCAGUAGGUAUAUUGCAUUUUCCUCAUCCCUCUUGUUUCAAUAGAUUUUUCCAACAACCUGAAACAGUAGGUCACUUACAUGAAAUGCAUGUCCCAGAUCUUUUGAAUUUCUCUGAACUCCACAUCUUUGACUGGCUGCAGCUUUGGGGUUCUUACUGGGGUGCAUUUCUGUGGAGUGAAACACCUGUUGAUUCAAAUGGAUGAACCAAGAGCAAGCUGAACUGACAGCUAGGAUGGAAUUUACCAGCUUUACUAGCAAGGGCAAAGACCCUUCUAACUACUGUACAGCUGCGAACUUGAAGACUCAGAGCUCCAAUGCGAUAUUUUUGUAUUUAUCUAAAGUAAUGUCUGUGUGAGCAUUUGCAAGCAGAAGUGAGUUUUCUCCAUCGUUAUCCUGAGCUGACUGGAAGCCAUAUAGCAAACUAGUGUGGCAUUAGGCCUAAACUAACAUAGCCUGCUUCCCAGCUGAACUUUAUUAGCUUGGGCUUGGUGCCCUGCUAACCACAGCUGUGGGUUUCUUGUCAGCUUGGAGUAGAGGCAGAACAAGCUCGUGCCUCUUUAUAGGUAGUCCUAUAGGGUUUUAAUGUUUGUGAAUAGUGCUACCAUUAGAAAGUUGAAUGUUUCUUCUUUCUCUCUUCAGAACAAAUUAUGGAGUAAGUUGCAUAUCCUUUUAUUUACAUCCUUUGUAUCAGCAAAUGUAUUUUUCAGUCUUUGUCUGCUUUUCUUGUCAGUCCUUAUUUGUCAUUAACUAGUCCUUUUUCUUUCACCCGUGCUCUUUUUACAUUUAAAUAGUCUUAAUUUUUUUUUCAGCUUCUAUAACCAAAAAAGGCAACUCUAGAUUAACAAAGAGAGCUGAGGAAAGACUUGAGAAUUCACGUGGAAGAAAAAUGAUGUUUCUUUGAAAUUGCUUCAAAUGUUUAAUCUACAUCUCUGACCUAGAAGUUGGCUUGUUUGUAAAUAGAGCCCAUCCCAACAUUUUCUAAUUUUUCAUUUAAAAGCACACUGCUGGAAACUGCCUAUUUGUUAAAAUCAAACCUGGCUUUAUUAAAAAAAAAAAAAAGCAUUGAUUUUGUUGAACAUGGUGUGGUGGAGAGCAGAGAGGCAAAAUCUGGCUUGUGGCAUUGGGGAUAAUGGUCCUUCUGUGGGUUCUGGUUCUAUUCAAAUUAAGCUGAGUGGAAAAACUCUGCUUCUGAAGAUCACAGGUUUCUGAAGUAAGAACUUUAGUAUCCUUAUUGUGGUAUUUGGUUUUGUGUGAGUCAUUACAAGGUUUAUGGUUCAAAGUUCAUAGCACUUAAUAGUAAGGAGUAUGCUGCUUGCUGAACUGUUGGCUAAAGUGGCUUCUCUUUUCUUUUUCAUUUUCCACUUCUUCUGUUCAAGCCAAACACCUGCUACUAUUAAAAUAGAUGCUUACCUCCUACUGAUAAACUUGUGCUCCUAAUCAGGUCUUUUGCCCAGUAAAACUUGGAAUGCCUGCUUGGUAGUUCUUUCUUCUUGUUCAGAGUAGCUCAGACAUUUUCUCUAAGCUUCCUCGCUUUGAACAAGGUGGAGGUAUCAGAGGAGUAACCUGUUGUGCUCCUUUUUUAAGAGUUUAGCUAAAGAUAUAUACAGAAACAUUUUCGCUAACUUCUGUUCUAAAACGACUUUUUUUUUUUUUUGGUAGUUUUGUGUGUGAUCAGUGUAUAUAAGUUUUUUACUUUGUAGAAACUACUAUUAGUAUACAAAUACUUUUGCAACUGUGAAAAAUUGUCUCAAAAUUCAUUGAUCUUAUUGCUAAGGAGAUAUUCAGAGAUUUUUCUUUCUAGCUAACACACACGCACAAAAAGCAAACAAAAGCUUAAGUUUUCUGUGUCUGCAUUUCUCUGUAAAGUCAUGGGACUCUCUAGGUUUGUCUAGGGCAGAAUAUGGUCCUCUUUUUGCAGAUAUGGUGUAAGCUGCAAUUAUGAGCUGUAUGACUAUGAGACGUUGCUAUAAACCAGAUCAAUGAGGAAGUGGAACUUAGGAUUUCAUAUGCUGUCUGAUGCCUCUGUGUUGGCAUGGUUCAUGCUGUUGUGGUAUGGUAUACUGGAAGGUGGUGUAGCUAACCUACUUUCUUCUCCACUAUAGAAUGUUAGUACAGUGUGAGAUUGCCUUUGAGCAAAUAGACGUUGCUUACUGCUGGAAGUGUCAUUUAGUUUGGCUUUCAUAUUGUUUAUUUUUGGACUAGUAGAAAGGAUUUCAUGCCACUGGUAUAGGAUGGCAUUUGGAAUGCUGUUUUCUGCUGAUGGAGAUAAUGUAAGGAUUUUGUAAUUAAUGUUUCUGGAAUCCCUAGCAACUGUUUUUUAUACUCCCAUAGAGAAAAAGAUGGAUGUGUUUUAUUCUUCAUCCUUCAAGGGGAAGAAAUGGAGGCUCACAUACCAGUGAAGGAAAAAAGUUAUUCAGGGAGGUGAGAAAAUGGUUCCUUACAAGGCACUGAAAAUGUGUCUUGCAAGGUUAUAGUUCCUAGGCAAAUGAAUAUUUACAAAAUGACAUUUUCACUUUUCUAAUUCUUCUGUACAGGUAUUUCAUACUUUGAAUAAGCUCC